rnacentral:rRNA from 1 species
CGGGUGCGUAACGCGUAUGCAACCUACCUUGAACAGGGGGAUAGCCCGGAGAAAUCCGGAUUAAUACCGCAUAAUAUAAUUGAACCAGCAUUGGUUUAUUAUUAAAGAUUUAUUGGUUCAAGAUGGGCAUGCGUGUCAUUAGCUAGUUGGUGAGGUAACGGCCCACCAAGGCGACGAUGACUAGGGGAUCUGAGAGGAUGACCCCCCACACUGGUACUGAGACACGGACCAG